rnacentral:rRNA from 1 species
AGAACGAACGCUGGCGGCAUGCCUAAUACAUGCAAGUCGAACGAACACUUCGGUGUUAGUGGCGCACGGGUGCGUACCGCGUGGGAAUCUGCCCUCGGGUUCGGAAUAACAGUUGGAAACGACUGCUAAUACCGGAUGAUAUCGAAAGAUACAAAGAUUUAUCCGCCCAGGGAUGAGCCCGCGUAGGAUUAGCUAGUUGGUGAGGUAAAGGCUCA